rnacentral:rRNA from 1 species
AAUUAAUAUAGUUUGAAAUUAAUUUAUUAUUUGUUUUAUUUUUGGUAUUAUAAAUAAUAAAAAUAUUUUUAGGUUUUAUUAUUAUUAUUGAAUAAAUUUAUUUAAUUAUAGGGUAUUAGUAUUGUUAAAGAAUUUUUUUUAUUUUUGGAAAGAAGAUUUUAAUUAUUGUACCUUGUGUAUCAGGGUUUAUUUAAAAGUAUUUAAUAUUCUAAAUUUCUCGAAUUUAAAAGAGCUAUAAAUUUAUUUUUUUUAUUGUAAAAUAAAUAUUAUAAAUUUAAUUAUAGAGGUGAAAUAUUAUUCGAUUUUAAAUAUAUCUAGUUUUUUAAGAAAAAAAUUUAAUUUUAUUUUUAUUUAAUAUAAAAUUUUAUAUUUAAUUUUGUAAUAGUAAAAUUUAAUAAAUUAAGGGAUGAGCUUUAGUUUAUAUUAAUAUAAUUAUAAAGGUGUGUGUUUUAAAUAUAUAGGAUUAAAAGUUUUUAUUUUUUAUAGUGUUUUAUAACUAAUUUAUAAUGUAUUACUAUUUUUAUGUAAUUUAUAUUUUUUAUUAAAAUGUAUUUAUUAAUUAUUAAUAUAUAGUAAUAAUGAUGAAAUUAGUAUAAUAAAUUGUAUAUUUAUAUAAUAUAUUUAAGAUUAAUUUAAGGAAUUCGGCAAAUAUAAUUUUCACCUGUUUAUUAAAAACAUGGCCUUUUGAGUAUAAUUUAAGGUCGGGCCUGCCCUAUGAUUUAUUUUAAAUGGCCGCGGUAAUUUGACCGUGCAAAGGUAGCAUAAUCAUUAGUUUUUUAAUUAAAAGCUUGUAUGAAAGGUUUAAUGAAGGAUUGACUGUCUCUAAUUAAAUUAUUAGAAUUUUAUUUUUAAGUUAAAAAGCUUAAAUUUAUAUAGAAGACGAGAAGACCCUAUAGAGUUUUAUAUGUAUUAUAAUUUUUAAUUUUUAGAAUUAAAUAUUUUUAUUAUAAUAUAUAAUUGAUUGGGGUGAUUGAAAAAUUUAAUUAACUUUUUUUUAAAUAAACCAUUUAUUUAUGAAUAUAUGAUCCUUAUAUAAAGAUUAUAAGAUAAAAUUACCUUAGGGAUAACAGCGUUAUUUUUUUUUAGAGUUCUAAUCGAGAAGAAAGAUUGCGACCUCGAUGUUGGAUUAAAAUAUAAGUUUGGUGUAGAAGCUAAAUGGAUUAGGUCUGUUCGACCUAUAAAAUUUUACAUGAUCUGAGUUUAAACCGGCGUAAGCCAGGUUGGUUUCUAUCUCUAUAAUAAAAUAAUAUUUUAGUACGAAAGGACCAAAUAUUAAUUUAAUAAAUUAUUAAAAGAAUUUUAUUAAAAUUAAUUAUUUUGGCAGAAUAGUGCGAUAGAUUUAGGAUCUUUUUAUAUAAUUUU